ACCACCUACCCGCCUGCAAUUCAAUCCAUUCUGUGCGCUCAUUUCCUCCUUCGGCCUCUGAUGGAGAGAAAAGUCCAGGCCAUAGAUUGUGGCCGACAGAUGACAGGUUUGCAUGCGCCCUGGGGAGCAAGCUGAUGUGUUGUCGAUGCAGAUGGCGAACUCAUCCUUCAAACAACCCGUUUAAAGGCGAUAAUGCCGGAAGCGAUGAGUCUAGGCUGCUAAGCUGCGCUGAAUCGAUGGCACGCUCUCGGGGCACCUAACGGCUGUGCUGGCGUCUCUGCGUCUUUGAGCAGUUGUUGCUCACGUGUGAUGCUAAUAUCGCAUGUGUGCUACGUCCGUGGCUGUGAUGAGAUGACGCGGUAGGGCCCUUGUCUUGCUUCUCUGACAUGUGGCUUAAGACUCAAUGAGCGCCCAAGAAUGGCGCCGCCAGCAUUAUUUUUUCAAAUAAAUUUUUUUACGGCACGUGCCAAAAUGAAAAGAAAUUCUAGUCUUAUCGGUGGAUCACUCGGCUCGUGGGUCGAUGAAGAACGCAGCCAACUGCGAUAAGUAGUGUGAACUGCAGAAACNCCACCAGGAGUGGAGCCUGCGGCUUAAUUUGACUCAACACGGGGAAACUCACCCGGCCCGGACACCGUAAGGAUUGACAGAUUGAUAGCUUUUUCAUGAUUCGGUGGAUGGUGGUGCAUGGCCGUUCUUAGUUCGUGGAGCGAUUUGUCUGGUUUAUUCCGAUAACGAGCGAGACUCUGGCCUACUAAAUAGUUGGCACAUUGCCACUGUGUGCACAACUUCUUAGAGGGAUUUUCGGUGUUCAGCCGCACGAAAUUGAGCAAUAACAGGUCUGUGAUGCCCUUAGAUGUCCGGGGCUGCACGCGCGCUACACUGGCAAAAUCAGCGUGCUUGUCCUCCCCCGAAAGGGGUUGGUAAACCGAUGAAAAUUUGCCGUGAUUGGGAUCGGACAUUGCAAUUAUUGUCCGUGAACGAGGAAUCCCUUGUAAGGGCGAGUCAUCAACUCGUCCUGAAUACGUCCCUGCCCUUUGUACACACCGCCCGUCGCUGCCCGGGACUGAGCCAUUUCGAGAAAACCGGGGAUUGUUGGCCUGACGGCUCUCGGGUCGUCUAGCCGAUGAGAACCGGCUUAAUCGCACUGGUUUGAACCGGGCAAAAGUCGUAACAAGGUAGCUGUAGGUGAACCUGCUGCUG
rnacentral:rRNA from 1 species